rnacentral:rRNA from 1 species
UACGUAGGGGGCAAGCGUUGUCCGGAUUUAUUGGGCGUAAAGAGCUCGUAGGUGGUUCGGUAAGUCGGAUGUGAAAUCUCCAGGCUCAACCUGGAGGGGUCAUUCGAUACUGCCGUGACUAGAGGUCGGUAGGGGAGUGUGGAAUUCCUGGUGGUGCGGUGAAAUGCGCAGAUAUCAGGAGGAACACCGGUGGCGAAGGCGGUUCUCUAGUACGGUACUGACGCUGAGACGCGAAAAGCGUGGGGAGGCGAACAGG